rnacentral:snRNA from 1 species
AUCGCUUCUCGCCUUUCUGGCUAAGAUCAAAGUGUAGUAUCUGUUCUUAUCAGCUUAAUAUCUGAUACGUCCUCCAUUGGGGGACAAUCGAUAUUAAAAACUGAUUUUUGAAAGGGGGUGAGGUGCCCGGGGCUUGCUCCGCCCUCACCACGGGUUGACCCGGUAUUGCAGUACUUCCGGAAUGGCCCACCACUA